AUUGAACGCUAGCGGGAUGCCUUACACAUGCAAGUCGAACGGAGUGGCGAACGGGUGAGUAAUGUAUCGGAACGUGCCCAGUAGCGGGGUAUACCUCCGCGAAAGCGUAGCUAAUACCGCAUACUUUAGGAGCGGUCGCUAUGGGAUUAGCUAGUUGGUGGGGUAACGGCUCACCAAGGCGACGAUCCGUAGCUGGUCUGAGAGCACGACCAGCCACACUGGGACUGAGACACGGCCCAGACUCCUACGGGAGGCAGCAGUGGGGAAUGGUGGACAAUGGGGGAAACCCUGAUCCAGCCAUCCCGCGUGAGCGAUGAAGGCCUUCGGGUUGUAAAGCACUGUUGGCAGGGAAGCGGUACCUGCAGAGUAAGCAACGGCUAACUACGUGCCAGCCGCCGCGGUAAUUC
rnacentral:rRNA from 1 species